GAAAAUAUAGUUAUAGUGAAAGCUACAAGAUUCUUGUAAUUAUUAGUAUGUAGUAACCUGCAAGUCCAUGAAGAUAAGAUUUUGAUAUCGAGUUGUAGAGUUACGUGCAGUUUUUGGUGCCUGCUUUCUUGCAACAAUAAGCUUUGCAGACCAGUUCAUCUCUGAUAUAGUAAUUUGUGGGAUAAACUUGUAAGUUGCAACCAUUUUUUAUAUCUGUCAUUUGCAUGAAAAAUAAGUUAAAAGUGUAAAACGAUGUAGUUACGAAUAUAAAACUAUGGCUGUAUUUAUUAGGCAAAUGUAAGGAAGUUAUUAAUGGAAAAGACGAAGAAAGAGUUGUAGACUGGAUAUGUAAAAAAUUACCAGCAGCAAAUUGAAGUUUAGAUUUCUGAAGUGUUGGAAGUUAUAAGUGAUAAUUGUAAACUGGAUUUAUUAGGCAAAUGUAAGGAAUUUAUUAAUGCAAAAGACUAAGAAAGAGUUGUAGACUGGAUAUGUAAAAAAUUACCAGCAGCAAAUUGAAGUUUAGAUUUCUGAAGUGUUGGAAGUUAUAAGUGAUAAUUGUAAACUGGAUUUAUUAGGCAAAUGUAAGGAAUUUAUUAAUGCAAAAGACUAAGAAAGAGUUGUAGACUGGAUAUGUAAAAAAUUACCAGCAGCAAAUUGAAGUUUGGAUUUCUGAAGUGUUGGAAGGUGAAAGUGAUAAUUGUAAUACGUUUGUAUGGUUACAAACCUGAAAAUGAAGUAUUGAGUGUAGCUAUUUAUAGAAAAUUUAUGGAGGAAGCCUAUUUUAAUAUACAUAUUUUGACUUUUCAAUACACAUUUUCAAAUGUUCAGAAGAUAAGGAUUAAUAGUACAAAUUAACAUGUGUCAAUUGUAAAAUAUCUAUUGUCAAAAGUAUCUGGAAAAUUGCUAUAAAGUUAAUUUUGUUUUUUCCUUGUAAUAAAUGGAAGAUUUUCUUCUAUUUACUGUAUCAUAGUACAUACUACGUGUAUGUAGAAGGUAUCUGGAAAAAAUUCUGAGGAGAAAUUUUUUUAAGAGUCCUUUUUUCCUUCAGAUGAUAGAAGUUGCAAUUAUACAAGAACAUGUGAAAAUGUAAUUGUUGGUGCAUUUGUGAAAUAAAUAAUUGUAUAUAGUAGGAUUCAAUUAUUUCUUAGUAGUAUGUGAGUAAUGAAAUUUGUAAAUGAACGAGGUGAUUUUAAGUACAUGUAC
rnacentral:lncRNA from 1 species